rnacentral:lncRNA from 1 species
UCGUCUUUUGUACAACAAACAUACAUAAUAAUAAAAUGUUAUAUAUUUUUGGAAUUUUAAAUAUUCAGUUGCUUGAUGAAAUGAUUAUAUAAUUUAUAUGCCCUUGAUCUGAAAACAGGCCGUCGGUGAAAACUGAAAAGGGUUCGACCUCAACGUAGUGAGAUGGAAGAAGAAGAUGAAAGCCUUGAAAAGUUGCUGAAAUGGGCAGCAGAAAUGGGAAUUACAGACUCAACAAUUCAAAACCCUUCUCGCUCUCGCAACUGUUUGGGCCAUUCUCUCACCGUCUCUCAUUUCCCGGAGGCAGGUGGGUGAGUUACAGACUGAGCUCUGCUUAUUCGAAUGGAAUAUAUAUAAUUUUUCAUGUAUGCAUAUAAUUUUUCUUCUGUUACAGGAGAGGAUUGGCUGCCGCUCGCGAUCUUACAAAAGGAGAAUUGAUUCUCAGAGUUCCAAAAACAGCCUUAUUUACUACUGAAUGUUUAUUGAAAAGUGAUCAGAAACUAUCUCUUGCUGUUAACAGACAUCUCUUUCUCUCCCCUUCUCAGGUUUUUUUUUUUACUUUUAUAGAUAUAAUGUUUCCGCAAUUGGGAUUUUUCAUUUUUUUUUUUGGUUUAUUUUCUUAUUACUAAGUGUAAUUUUGCAGAUAUUGAUUGUUUGUUUACUAUAUGAAGUGGGUAAAGGAAAGAGUUCACGGUGGCAUGCAUACUUAAUGCUAUUGCCUCGUUGUUAUGAGAUACUUGCAACCUUUGGUCCAUUUGAGAAGCAAGCUCUUCAGGUUCAGUUUCUUUAUUCUUUUGUUAUUUGGAAGUAAUUAUGUUAGUUAUUUGCUUCUCUGAUAGUAAAUUCUUCCUUAGGUGGAUGAUGCUAUCUGGGCUGCUGAGAAGGCUGUGUCCAAAGCUGAAUCCGAGUGGAAGCAAGCCAUUAAACUAAUGGAAGAACUUAAGCUUAAGCCUCAACUGCUUUCUUUUAAGGCGUGGCUUUGGGCUUCCGCAACUGUAAGAAUAUCUAGACGCAGCAAAGACAGACCCGGACAGUAUGAGAGCCCUGCUGUACGGCCAAGGCGGAUGUACGGUACAGCAGCAAACAUACAUAAUAAUAAAAUGUUAUAUAUUUUUGGAAUUUUAAAUAUUCAGUUGCUUGAUGAAAUGAUUAUAUAAUUUAUAUGCCCUUGAUCUGAAAACAGGCCGUCGGUGAAAACUGAAAAGGGUUCGACCUCAACGUAGUGAGAUGGAAGAAGAAGAUGAAAGCCUUGAAAAGUUGCUGAAAUGGGCAGCAGAAAUGGGAAUUACAGACUCAACAAUUCAAAACCCUUCUCGCUCUCGCAACUGUUUGGGCCAUUCUCUCACCGUCUCUCAUUUCCCGGAGGCAGGUG